rnacentral:rRNA from 1 species
UGUCAGGAGUUAGGAAAUGCAAGGAUGUUAAUAGCAUCUUUGUUUGACUAAGGCUCCGGAGGAAGCCACGGCUAACUCUGUGCCAGCAGCCGCGGUAAUACAGAGGCGGCAAGCGUUGUUCGGAAUUAUUGGGCGUAAAGAGCACGUAGGCGGCUGUGUAAGUCGGUUGUGAAAGCCUUCCGCUUAACGGAAGAACGGCAUCCGAUACUGCAUAGCUCGAGUGCGGGAGGGGAGAGUGGAACUUCUGGUA